rnacentral:lncRNA from 1 species
AUAAAUAUAGCAAAGAUUCAAUGUCAGUAACUGCCAUCAAAAAAUGACAUUUCAAUGUAUGGGAACAUAUUGGAGGACAUUCAAAUCGAGAUUGAGAAAAGAAAUCAAACGUCAAGUACCAUCCGUCAUGAAUAGAAAACGCGCCAUUGCCCUUCUUAGACCGAAGAAUAUAAACUCUGAAGAAGCAUGGAAAAAGUUUGUAGAAGAUACUCUUUCUACUGAUUUUCAAGUAAGUUAAAUUUUGAUAUUGACUUUAAACUUUGUAGUCAAUUAUUGUUGAUUUAUAUUUUUUCCCUUAAUAGGAAAGACGUUCUAAGUUCAACAAAAUGAGAACUACUGAGAAGCAUCUCCAUACUAUGGGUCGAAAGGGUUAUUCACGCAUGGCUCACGAUUUGGUACAAUACUAACUAUUUAUAUUUUUUUUAUGUAUCGUUAUUGAUUUUUUAUACGUGUCCGUAAUUGGGAAAAUAUUGUUGUUGUAGAAAAGAAAGAGUCCAAAUAUAAAAGGAUUGAGAAAGAGAGUAUGGACUCAUGGACAUCUUCGAAAGGAUGGAAAGCUAAUAAAUGAAGCGGUUGCCGAAACUUUGGUAUGUGUAUUGUAUG